rnacentral:rRNA from 1 species
UACGGAGGGGGCUAGCGUUGUUCGGAAUUACUGGGCGUAAAGCGCACGUAGGCGGCUUUGUAAGUUAGAGGUGAAAGCCCGGGGCUCAACUCCGGAAUUGCCUUUAAGACUGCAUCGCUAGGAAUUGUGGAGAGGUAAGUGGAAUUCCGAGUGUAGAGGUGAAAUUCGUAGAUAUUCGGAAGAACACCAGUGGCGAAGGCGGACUUACUGGACACAUAUUGACGCUGAGGUGGCGAAAGCGUGGGGAGCAAACAGG